GUCUCUUAUUACUGGGUAGUUAUAUCAGCUGGUGCAGGGAGAACUUGUUUGAGGAAAUGCUCCAAGAGACAGAUAGCAGCAGUUAAGAGAACCUCACAUUCUUCAGCAAGCUAACAGGGAAUGUUCUCAGCCAGACCUAAUUGUGUAUAUGCAACUCUCUCGUUCUGUUCACCAAAAAGAUCAAUGGAUACCAGUUUGGAUCUGAUUUUUUUAUCUUCUAAGUAUAACAUUUGUUUUAUUAACCAAUUUAUAGUCCGGUCUGAAUUGUUUGGGUUCAUGCUAGAUUCUUGAAACCCUUCAUGAAGUAAGUCAUUUUCCAUCUUAUAUGGAUACAAUAGUUUCUAAGAAAAAUUGUAUAUGAACUAAUUAUAUAUGAGAGAAAAAUAUUGAGAAACAAAUACUAUUGCUCUGAACAGAUUAGAGCACUUCCAUUAAUGAC
rnacentral:lncRNA from 1 species